UAGGUGUCCUUGGCCUGGCGUAUUUGCUCCAUCAGAAGUUGCUGUUGGGAUUGGAGCUCCAGCAGCCAGCCCGUCACUGCGGGAACUGCAGACACCGGCAGCAUGCUUGGGAACAAACGUGGGUGGUACCCACAGUUGGCCUGGAACAGUGUCUGUUGGGUGGAAGCGUUCACUUGCAUUGUUGUAGGCAAACUCGGCCAAUGCCAGAUAGUCGACCCAAUCGUCCUGGUGAAAACUGCAGUUGCACCAGAGGUACUGCUCCAACACCACAUUCGCCCAUUCGGUCUGUUCGUCGGUCUGUGGAUGGUAGGCCAUUGAUAGACAGACCUCUGUCCCAAGAGCCUGGUGUAGGCCACGCCAGAAGCGGGAGGUGAACUGAGCGCCAUGAACAGAAAUCGUUCUGAAUGCUACCAGCAUUCUGGUAGGCCAUGCAGGCAAAAAGUGUCAGUGGGUUACUAGACCCAGGGGCCGCCUCAGCCUCCCCUGACCAAACUGGUAGUGGAGCAGCUGUAAGUGAUUGCCCAGCUUAAGGCAAUGAGGUAAUCCCUGCAUCUGGAGCCAGGGCAGGCUCAGGCCCCUGACUCGGCCUAGCUGGUGUUUGUUGCAGGGGAACCUGUGCAGACUGGGACUCUUCAGGAUCAGGUCCCAGACUUGGUUCAGAGGCAAAGGAUCCGGUGCAGACUGAGACUCCUCUGGUUCCAAUAUCUACGAAUUUCAAUAAAGUAUAUAUAUUAAAAAGGACAUGCCUAGUAACCAAUGAGCCGGCAGAGGGAGGUGUCACAAUGAAAGGCAUGUCACAAUGACCUCCGCAACCUAGCAGCUCCUCUGACUCUAGUAAGUUUGCUUAUAUGGCUUUUAAUGCAUGUUCAGCUUUUUAAAAAGAUGUAAAACAUGCCUAUUCCUUUAUAUUCAAGCUGCAGUUAUCCCUGCACCUACUGAGCAUUAAUGUCAUUCUAUAUUGCUGUAUGUGUCAUUGGAAACAAAGAAAUCGCCCCUUGCAUAUUAUUCAUUUUAUUACCAUCCUUCACUAGCGGGUCCCAGGGCAGGUUACAACCAUCUAAAUAUAAGCAUUGAAACAGUUAAGACCAAUUACAGUCACCAGAACAGUUUGAAUUCUGAAAACACAUAUCUCAGGUGCCAAAGGCCAGGCAAAGAGGUGUGUCUUCAGCAUAUGCUAGAAACUAUAUAAUGAAGGUGUCAGAUGCACCUCUGGAAAGGGAAUUCCUCAACUAAGGAGCUGCCACAGGGAAUGCUCUCUCCUGGGCCACACCAAAGCUUCUAAGGGUGAGCAAGUGUGGCUGUGGGGAAGGAGGCUUUCAUUCAGUGGUGUGCAGUGACAUUUUUUGUAGGGGGACAGUUAGGGCUAGUUGCCUUGGGAAAACUACGCCACUAGAUAGUAUCCAGCAAUUACAAGCUCCACCCGACUGUUGGCAUACAGUGGAGUGCUUUUACACUAUUUGGCAGGUAAAAGUAUUAGAACAGAGCGAUCACACCUUCCCAGCACCUAAUCACUUUAAUAUGAUAACAUACUAAUAAAACAAAUGCAGUUGAUCUUACCUUCAUUCAUCAGUUAAUGCAAUUCUCCUGUCUCCUUUCUGCGCAUCACAGAAGCUUCCUUGACUUUGCAGUUCAGUUAGAAGAGACUUUUUGAUGGAUAUGAGAGAAAGUUGGGAAAGCCGGUCUUUGAGUGGUUCAAAUGUAACUUUUUACCCAUUUUAGGCAGCCCUCUACAGUGGAAGCGGACCCGGAAAUAGUUGCUAACAAAAGCCGCAUGCCCCAGCAAAAACCGUCCGGCUGAAACUUAAGAGCCAUAGGCUGCCCCCCCCCCAAAAAAAAACAGGAGGACUACCUGGAGAGUAAUCUUAUCAAUGAAACAAGGCAGCAUCAACCAUGGACGAGACCUGCCUGCACAAUGUCCCUGAAGGCAUAAGAUUCGGACACAAGCGGAAAGAACAAUGGCUCAAUUAUUCUCAAGAGUUAUUUAUUUAUUUUUAAAGCCAAAAUUGAAAAGUGUUCAGCUGUGCUGCGUGCUUACUCGGCAUGCCCACCCAAAAGGACCUGCCUCAGUGACACCACGUGGCUCAGUGCAACCUCCAAACAAAAGAAGAAACACUCCAGGGAGGCCGCCUGCCAGCACCACAUGGCCCUGGUUUCAAAAUGCAAUAAGAUGAACAAACGAAGGGCCCCCCGCAUAAGAAUCCCCACAGCCCAAAUCCCAGCCUGCGUCCCCAUUCGCCAAAGCAGGGUGCAGGCUAGGAUCCAGUUCCUGAUAUGGGGGGCGGGGGCUUAUGACCCCACCACCUAUCAGGAAGGGCACUGACGUUCAAGUUCUCUCAUCAGGGCCCCAGUGAAGCCUUCGCCAUCCCGCAAUGCCGUCGCACCAAGAAGAUGAGCGGAUUUCUCUACGGAGGGAAGCAUUUCUUCAACAGUAGACGUACUGAGAAGCUGUACACAAAACAUGCAUCCAAGGCUGCUGUGUUCUCCCUCCCCCCAAGUCCUCCUCAACUCUUCUUAGCAACAUACACACACACACACCCCCAAAAAACCCAGCUGUUUUGCCCUCCUGGGCAGGUUUGGAAGAAGGGGGUUGCUGGGAGUUCAGUCCAACAGAAGUGACUGAAAGUUAAGGAUCCCCACCCCCAAUUCACAGUUUUUGCUGGUAGGGAUAGUUGAGGGCAGCAAGAGCCUGAAGGGAUCAUGGACUCCCCAGUGCUUGUGCUCUACAAGUUACAUGGGUGGCACAUGCUCAGUCCCUCUCCCUACUUUCUAACUAAAGAGCAGACCAUGUGUUUGUGCAUUAUAAAGUACACAGAGAGAGUCUGUUGAAGAACCCGCUUCCCUCCACGUCUGGGCAUGUGGCGCCACUGCAAGGCUGUGCCACCAACACAGCUCCAGGAGGACACGCCCUUGGAUGCCUCCUGAAGAUGCCCAUGCAAGGAGCACAGCGGCUUGAGUAAAGCAGGCAAAAGAAGAAAGAGGCUCAGGGAGUAAGGUCCAAGAAUGACUGAGAGGAGGAGAAAGAAGAGAGAGCGAGGAGGAAGGGUUUAUUCUGGAAAUGGAGCGCAGAGGUGUGUGCCUAAUUUAUCAGGAACAUGGGGGACUAGGCUAGGCCCUAUGGCCCAAUACACUGCACUCCACUGCUUUCAUUCAGAAAUUUGGGGCCUGUCAUUUAGGGCUUCAAUACUAAAAUGAACACCUCAAAUUCAGCCCAGAAAUGAACUAGCAACCAAUGCAGCUGCUUUCUUUCUCUUUCCUUUUUAAUUACUUUUUUUAUUCAAAAUUAAAACAAAAAAUAUUAUCCAGAAACAUAUCAUCCUUAUUUUCCCCCAGUCUUUGAUUUCUCUAAAAGUGCUGUUUUCUGCAUGUUACACAGUUGUAUAGAUCCUCAAACUAUUUAAGUAAUAAUUAUCAAUAAAAAGUUUGUGAAUGUUUAUUCAAAACCAGCCAAGGAGUCCAGUUCGCUUUGUUGCGUCUUCAAAUACUUUCUAAAGGGUUCCCAUUCAUCUUUAAAGUCACAGUUAUCCUUGUCCCAUAGCUUGUAUGUCAGUUUUGCCAGUUCUGCAUAGUCCAUCAAUUUUUCUUGCCAUGAUUCUUUAGUUGGUGGUAUAGUGGUGAGCAUAGCUGCCUUCCAAUGCAGCUGCUUUCAAACAGCAGCUAUAUGAUCUCUAAAGGAAACCCCAGACAGUAAUCUGUCUGAUGCCUUUUGGACUAGUUAUCGUUUCCAAGUCGCCUUCAAGGGCAGCCCUGCAUGGAGUGCAUUGCAAUAAUCCAGUCUGAAAGUUACCAGAGUAAUCACAAAGUUACCACAGGUCACAUGGAGGAAUUGUGAAUUAUUAUGCCAUGAAGUUCCAUAGACCCUGAUAAAAAAAAGUUAAAGAAGCACAAAUAUCUGAACAUGUAUGUAUGUAUGUAAGCAUGACUGAAGUAACCAUCUUCCCUUUAUGGAGGUGGGAGAAAUUGACAAUUGAUGGCCUUGGGCAGAUCGUGGUGAGGAAGAAAAAGCGAAGGCUCCAGAGUCUAGGAGAACUGGCCAGAGAACAGGAAAUUGACAGAAAAGCAUCCAGGAUUCUCUGUACAUUGACAGGGAUUGUGGAAGUAAGUAUGUGACAGGAAUGUGGCUCUGAGUUGGUUUUUAUUUUUAUUUUUAUUUUUUUUAGAGCUGGCUAUUUCAUUUGAGCUCUGGUUGCCCUAAUGAACCAGCCUCUACUGGGGACACCUGUCUAUUUUUCUAGAAAACUAUUGUCUAGUUGAUGCCCUUCCCUAAUCCAUAUAAGACUGGUUAACAUGGGCAGCAAUCCUUACCCCACUUACCCGGGAACGAGCACCACUGAAUUCAAUAGGACUUACUUCUGAGCAGACAUGGCUGGAAUCACGCUGUUAAUCAUAGUAGCUAUAUCCCGGACUCUGCAGAAAUCUAUCAGUUGCCAGUUUGUACCUGUCAAUAAAUUGGUUAUGUUCUUUUAUUAUCCUUCUUACUAGCAAAAUAAGCCAAAUUAACAGCAGGACACACAUUAAUUAAUGCAGGAGGGUGUAUGUGCAUUUGUCAAAAUACCCAACCUGUUUCAUAAAUAUUAUUGUCCGUCUUUGUGUGCUGUGUUUCCUAUGUACAGCUAGUUCUUUUUCACCCUCCCACUCUUAAAACCAAAUCUUUGGUUUGUAAUUAUAGUUUCAGCGUGUUGUUGGGUUAUCUUUCUUUUCUUACUUAUCCUUCUUAUACAUAUAUUUUACUUUGUAUUAUAUUUAAAUCAUUUUAGCAGUAGGAAAAGGUCAAGUCAGGAGUUCAGAUGCCAUCUUUUCCCGCCAUUUCAAAAAUCCCACAGGCUGAGCCAAACCUGGCACUACUUUCAGUAUAGCUAGUCCAUUUGCAGAGAAUACCUUUCUGUAGCUUUCUCUGUCUAUUAUUAGGUAUUAUUAGGCAUGCUAUUAUUAGGUGCUGUUAGAGCUGGAAGUAGAAAUCCCUGGCUCUUGUGAGCCCCUGAGCUUCAGAUUGGUGAUUCUCUCUAGGCAUCAAAGAAUUCACAGGUACCAGAUCGAUUCCACUUGCCCAGUUUCAUCAUUGGCUCUCUUCAAUAGGAAAAGCUAUAAAGUCUUCAGGCUGGGACAGAUUAACCUGAGCCGUCAACAGAAGGAAACGACUGGCUUUGGGGUUACUCACUGAUCUGAUCUCUCCAUGUUCACUUGUGGAUCCCACCCCACAGCUGUCUACAACUCAACUUUAAGGGUAGAACAGAAAUUCGAUUCAGUUCAAAUUUAAGCACAAAUCUACCUAAUUCACACUAGAGCACAAUACAACCAUCCUUUGACAUUCUUGCUUCUCUGAAUUUUUCAGUCAGUACAGUUCUCCAGCCAAGUAAUGUGUGUGAAAAUGCAUGUAUUAGUCAAAGUACUGUACAAACAAGUGUUCCUUUAGCUGUUGCUUUAGUGGAAACUGCUUUGCAAAAAUGUAUAUAUGUUAGGCAGAAUUGCAGACAAGCAUUUAUAUAUUAGGAGAAAUCAGCCCUAAAAUGCCAAUGUAUCUUCAUAAGGAUUUUUUAAAAACAAAAAAACCUGAUGUGGAAAUGUGGAGAACUGAAUUUAAGGUUAUAAAAACAAAACACUAAGAUAAAUUGAAAUUGACAGGAGCUAGCUAGGGCGGGGGGUGUGUGUUUACACUCUUGCCCCUGCAGCCAGGGGGGCCUGGCUUAAUAGACUACAUUAUAGUAUG
rnacentral:lncRNA from 1 species